rnacentral:rRNA from 1 species
UCACUGGGGCAGAAACCCCCCGCAGUUGUUUUAUAACUUGGAUAUGAAAGCCCCCCGCCUCACCCGGGGGGGUCUUGGAAUCUGGAGCCUUGAGUGCAGAAGAGGAAAGUGAUUUCCAUGUGUAGCGUGAAAGGCGUAGAUAUAGGGAGGACCACCAGUGGGGAAGGCGGCUUUCUGGUCUGUAACGACACGGAGGCGCGAAAGCGUGGGGACCAACCGGGAUUAGAUCCCCUGGUAGUCCACACGUAAACGAUGAGUGUUAAGUGUUAGAGGGUUUCCGCCCUUUAGUGCUGAAGUUAACGCAUUAAGCCCUCCGCGGGGGGAGUCCGCCCCCAAGGAUGAAACUCAAAGGAAUUGCCGGGGGCCCCCCCAAGCGGUGGAGCAUGUGGUUUAAUUGGAACCACCGCGAAGACCCUUACCAGUUCUUGCCAUCCUUUGACAACCUUAGAGAUAGGGCUUCUCCUUCGGGACCAAAGUCACAGGUGGUCCAUGGUUCUCGUCAGCUCGUCUCGUGAGAUGUUGGGUUAAGUCCCCCACCGAGCGCAACCCUUAUUUUUAGUUGCCAUCAUUAAGUUGGGCACUUUAAGGUGACUCCCGGUGACAACCCGGAGGAAGGUGGGGAUGACGUCAAAUCAUCAUGCCCAUUAUGACCUGGGCUACACCCGUGUUACAAUGGAAGGUACAAAGAGUUGCAAACCCGCGAGGUGAAGCUAAUCUCAUAAACCUUUUCUCAUUUCGGAUUGUAGCCUGCAACUCGCCUACAUAAAGCGGGAAUCGUUAGUAAUCGCGGAUCACCAUGCCGCGGUGAAUACGUUCCCGGCCCUUGUACCCCCCCCCCAUCACCCCACGAGAGUUUGUACCACCCGAAGUCGGUGGGGUACCCUUAUGGAGCCAGCCGCCUAA